rnacentral:rRNA from 1 species
AAUAUUGCGCAAUGGGGGAAACCCUGACGCAGCAACGCCGCGUGAAGGAUGAAGGUUUNCGGAUCNUNAACGUCUUUGAUUGGGGNCGAAUAAUGACGGUACCCAAAAAACAAGCAACGGCUAACUACGUCCCAGCAGCCGCGGUAAUACGUAGGUGGCGAGCGUUGUCCGGAAGUACAGGGUGUAAAGGGCAUGUAGGCGGGAGAGCAAGUCAAGUGUUAAAUACCGUGGCUUAACCCCGGGGCUGCAUCUGAAACUGGUUUGCUUGAGUGGCGGAGAGGAAAGUGGAAUUCCCAGUGUAGAGGUGAAAUGCGUAGAUAUUGGGAGGAACACCAGUGGCGAAGGCGACUUUCUGGACGAUAACUGACGCUGAGGCGCGAAAGCGUGGGGAGCAAACAGG